AUGCCCUUUUCAGAGUCACUGGAAUAUAUAGUUUCAUCCUCCUGGGAGUUGCUGCCAGGAUUGUUUAGGAGCUCAGUGGUAAGAAUGUCGACAAUGGAUAACCUUCUGGAUUCAAGGACCUGUGUCUGUCUUUUAACGCUGCUAAGUGGUGAAAAGGCAGAAAGUUAUAAUCUGGCAUCAGGAGCAAUGUUGCAUGCUUUAGGAGUCGUACAUUUGGCCCUGUGACUGAAGAUUGGAAGGUGACAAAUGACUUUGUGAAGGGAUAAGAGAAAGAGCUUCCACAGUGACAUUUAAAUUGGAACCCAUGUUUGAUGGCAUGCAGAUGAUUUAAAUACAUGUCACCAAUGCACAGCUAUAGAGGUGGGUUUUAAAAAUGCUUUUGCUUCCUUUACUGCUGCUUAAACAUGCAUCUGGAGAGUGCUGUGAUCCAGUGGAGCCAUUGUAAAUAAGCUGCAAUCAUUGUCUUUCAAAGCUUUUUCUUUACUUGCGUUCCUCAGGUGAGCUGCAUUGUGGGACUCAUAAAUAAUGAUUAUAAUCUUAACGCUUACUAUGCAGAUAGAAUCGGCAGUGGUAAAGUCACCUCACAGCGAGCACUCCUGACCCCCUUUCAAGGUUUACUGUACAGGGGGUUAUAGCAUGUCAAACUCCCAUCAUUCAGGACUCCACGUCUGCUGCCAGCAAAACAUGUUCAUCCUUCCCCUAACCCUAUGCAGGGGGCAGAGCCGGGAUCACCGUCACUGGGAGCGAGUAAAUUAUCUCCUGCAAUCAGCACGUGCCUAAUACAUGUGCUUGACCUUCUCUCAGAGUUCUCAGAAAGGUCUCCAUCCUCCUCCAGCAGCCAGCACGCUACUGUCACACCUAAAUCCAGGCGUGCUCCUUUAAUAUUCUCUCUUUUCUUGUCAGGAGGAGGUUUGAAUUAAAUUCCACCACUGACAUUUGGGAACAUUUGGAUCCUACCCGGCUGUGAUGGCUUGUGCCCCACUUGAUUUACUGGUGAAGCAGAGGUUCUUAGGGGGGUGUGUGUGUGUGUGUGUGCGUGUGUGUUAAUGCUGGGCUUGUGCCCCACUUGAUUUACUGGUGAAGGAGAGGUUCUUAAGGGGUGUGUGUGUGUGUUAAUGCUAUUAUUCAUUAGCAGCAGAGCCAAAAUCAAGCUCUUGCUAUGUGAAAGACCUCCAGAUCCAGGGCUAUCGAUGCUUAAUUGGCAUGAAAAACCCCAAGUUCCCUUGUGGUUUUAUUACAUGCUGAAACACUGUGAUUUUAGUAGAUUUGCAGACUCUGUUAAACAAUCUCUAUUAAAUAAAGACAAACCCAAUGAUUAAAUGUCUCUCGGU
rnacentral:lncRNA from 1 species